UACGGGGGGAGCAAGCGUUGUUCGGAUUUACUGGGCGUAAAGGGCGCGUAGGCGGUCAGCACAAGUCAGUUGUGAAAUCUCCGGGCUUAACUCGGAAAGGUCAACUGAUACUGUGCGACUAGAGUGCAGAAGGGGCAACUGGAAUUCUCGGUGUAGCGGUGAAAUGCGUAGAUAUCUGGAGGAACACCUGUGGCGAAAGCGGCGCACUGGACCAUAACUGACGCUGAUGCACGAAAGCUAGGGGAGCAAACAGG
rnacentral:rRNA from 1 species